UCUUCAGGUUAUGAUGCUGAACAAAACUAAAUCUGAUUUCAAAAUUUAAAAUUCUUUAAAAACAAGAAGUAUAUUAUAUAAAGGUUUAACGAGUAGUUGCAUUAGUUGACUUGGAGAGGAUAGUAGCUAUUAGCUUACCUCUUUGUUCCCAGAAAGCCACCAAAACGGGGAAGCUCAUUUGCUGCCGCCAGUCCUAAGAUUAUCAUCAUUAAGAGGAGGCAAAUAAAUUGACUUGGUGAAGCCACUUAGGUCCACAUUCACCAAGGUGAUCAAACCUGCGUCAGCCCACACCUGCCUCCCCUCUCAGGAGAAACCAGGACAGGCAGCACAACAAAGCUGUGGCGGCACACUUGGGGAGUUCAGCUAACUGCAUCUUCAAUCACCGCAUCUCAGAGCCAACCAAGGAUUGCAGGCAGCAGUGUGCAUGGAGGAGUUUGUUUAGGAUGCAUACGGCAC
ensembl:lncRNA